AGAAACUUCCAGGAAUGGAUCCGUUUAGAAGAUUGUGAGAAAGAUCUCUGCAAAAAUUGUAUAAGCAUGCAUAUAAACUAAAACUGCAAGUCUGUGCAAUCAGAAUGAUCAAAAAAGAUAGCUUGGUCGCCAAAUGCUUAGUAAAAUUGAAUAAACAAAAGAUAACACAAGUUGUUAGUAAAGGAUCUAUUAUUAUACAUCGUGCUUAUGUUGCUUGCUGGUCGGCCAGAUGGUAAACCCCUCAACUGAUUCCAACUAAGAUCUCUGAACAUAAAUAAGGCAAGGAUCAGAGCUGCCACACACAAAUUUGUUUCUGCUAACUACGGAAAUAGAAUUUUCUGCUCCUGAGAAAGUGAGGUUGCAGUCUUGAAAUUCGUCACAUACAAAUAGCCAAGUUGGGCUAUUCCACUGACAUCAGGGACAGGUCCUUCCAAGCUGCAGUUCCUCAAACUCCUGAUGAAGACCAUAUGAAAUAGAUUUAGCCUCUAAGUUUCAUAAUUACCGAGUGUAGAUUCUGUAGAAGUCUGAGUUAAACCUAUAUUCUUGAUAUAGAACUUCACCACUUGAUUUGCAAGACAUUCAAAACGCAACCCUCCUAAAAUUCAUUUCAGCACUACAGUAAGAGGUGGAAUUGCAGACAGCAGUAAGAAAUACUUACAAUUUCAAAAGUGUGGUGAUAUUGGCAUAAGAUGAAGGAAUUGAGGUUCCUGAGAAAUUAUUGUUGUCAAGCUGGCUGAAAUUGUUUUGAACAGAUAUAAUUAGAAAGGGCUUUAUAUGUGUCGACGUUUGAUGUCGCGAUUCCGGUAUUUGCAUAGUAUGGGGAUCGUUGGUACUAGAAUAUAUAUGCGAGAUUGUAGUAAAAGAGACAGAGGCGAGGAUUUUUAUACAGGUUCGGGCCCCUGAAUUGUCAGGUAAUAACCCUACAUCCUGUUGGCCGAAGCCGGUCGUUGCUCUUAUUCAUCAUAAUUACACCAGUAUAAUAUUUGGGAUAGCCUAUCUAACUGUUGUCGACAUGACGGUCUGAAGGUCUGACUCGUAGUCGACAACAGGGUAGCCUUCCUCCUCGAAUCCGCAUCCGGUGAGAUCAGAGACAGCGCUAUAUCUCUCCUGACGGUAUCCGUAGGCACCGUAGGGGACUAGCCAUGCCUAUCUCUGAAGUCGAUAUCCGGCGUCUUGUCUUGGCGUAUCUUAGCUUGUAUGUUGUGGCUUCUGUUUUGAUCUAUUGUUCUGUGUAUGUUGAUUGUCUCUCCUCUCCUCCUAGGGGGCCUUGUAUUUAUACCCAUAGGUGUCCCCUUGUCCAAGUAGAACUAGGGAAAUCAAUAUGGAUACAAUCCGAGUAGUCCUUGUCGUUUCCAUAUAGAACUCUGGUUGUCUUUCCUUAUCCGGAACUCCCUCCAUAUCCGAAGUCAGUUCCCGUAUAAGACAUGGUAUGUGGUGGGUCCUGCCGAGAUUUAGUCAACUACUAUUAGGUAUGUGGUAUCCAUAACCCUGACAGUAGCCCCGACUUCAAUGCAAAUGAACAAAUUCAUAUUCUCAACCGCAGACCUUGGAAUAAUUGCUAUCAAGCUCACGUGACCCGUUCUCGGUGAGUUCAGAGAUAACGUUAGACUUCCCUUAUCAGCCUCAAGCGGGCACCUAUAGGGUUUGUUUGAGUCAAUCUCCGACGUCAACCAAGAAGGUACAGAGCAUACGACUAAGUCUCCCGUCUUGCUGUAAUCGAGAAUUUGGAUUGAAGUCAAGAAAUUUUAUCUCGGCGGGUACACCAUCUUUUCAUUCCGUAUUCCUUGUCGAGAUCCACGAACCGUUCUCGAGCGAUCAAGAAGGCGCAAAGACUGCGACGAUGCCUUGUCAACAUUUGUCGUACUCGCCUUAGUCGAUCUUGGUGUAGAACCAUAGAGACAUGGAGUUCUCGAUAAUGUCAAAUAGAAUUUUCCUGAAAUCAAUACUCAGAAAAGAAUAUUAGAUAGAAAUAGCCUCCGAGCGAACGCUCAAAGGGUGACAUGUUAUAAUAUGUAUGGAAAACUAAAAAUAAAUUAAAUUUAUAAACCAAUGUUUUGUGUAUGAGUGUCUUCUCUUUUACCGACUUUGAUCAGUCAGUUUGUUGAGUCAUACACUCUCCCUAGCCCCCAGCCUUGUUGUCGGAGAAUUGUUCUCGGAGAAUAAGGCUCUUGGACCCUUGACCUGCCUUGGUUGAAAAAGCACUGACCCUAGCCCCCAGCCGUGAAGUUGGAAAACUCAAUUUCCGAUUACACAGCUUGGUUAAUACGCACGGCGAGAACUCUUACAUGACCAGAUCUUACAUGGUCGUUUGUCUCUACAUGAUCCGACAAGGCCUUAUCCGCUCUGGGCGUCCCCAGCCAAAGUUCCUUUAGGUUCCUCAGAGGCCUUGUCAGGACAGCGUAAAGGGAUAUGAGGAUAGGUUUCAACUCUAGGUGUCGUCGUGGUAAGGGAUCUCUGGGUAAAACAGUUGGCAAUAUUGUGUACCUGAUAUCAACUUUGUUGGAGUAGAGGUAAUGGGAGGAUUGCUACACCGCUGGUCGAAAACCAGUUGUAGCCCCAACUCGACCACUUAAAGUAAAGGUAGUGGGAGAAUAGCUACACCACUGGUCGAGGACCGGGUAGUAGUCGUAACAUGACCACUUGAAGUGGAACUAGUGGGAGAAUCGCUACACCGCUGGUUGAGACCCAAGUGUAGCCUUAACUCGACCACCUAAAGUGGAAGUAGUGGGCGAAUCGCUACACCGCUGGUCGAGGACCAGGUAGUAGUCGUAACUCGACCACUUAAAGUGGAAAUAGUGGGAGAAUUGCUACACUGCUGGUCGAGGACCAGGUAGUAGUCGUAACUCAACCACUAGAAGUAAAUGUAUGAGAGAUCGCUACGGUUGACUGGUUGAGAACCAGUGAGUAGGUGUCUCUCGACCAUUUGAAGUUGGUACGAGGGCCGCUAUGCUGCCGGUCAAAGACCAGUCGUAGCUGUCCCUCAACCAUCUGAAGUCAUCUGAAGUCGUGGUGCGAGGACCACUAUGCUAUUGGCGUAGUCGUAACUCGACUAUCUGAAGUUAAGGCGCGAGAGAUUGCUACGAUUUACUGGUUCGAGAACCAGCAAGUAGAAUUAUCUCUUGAACGCCAAUGGAAGUUGCGGUGCGAGAGAUUGCUACGGUUUACUGGUUCGAGAACCAGCGAGCGAGUAGAAUUAUCUCUCGAACGCCAAUGGAAGUUGCGGUGCAAGAGAUUGCUACGGUUUACUGGUUCGAGAACCAGCGAGCGAGUAGAAUUAUCUCUCGAACGCCAAUAGAAGUUGCGGUGCGAGAGAUUGCUACGGUUUAUGUAACAUCCCGGGUAUUUAGCUAUAGUCUUAGUCAUGCUAAUGACUUGGUCACAUUGGCUGAGAGCGGUGUUGAUUGAGCCACGAUACUGGCUAGGACCUAUAAAUAUAUUGAUUGUUGUUUUAUUCUAGAUAUUAAAUGGUUUCUCGAUUGUUUCCUUAUCAUUUAUUUAUUUAGUCAUAUCCAUAUGCAUCAUUGAUUUAUUCUUAGUUAGACUAAACCUGGUGAGGAGUGGGAUAAUUUAGUUUUGGUUAAACUAUAGUGUAGAUUAGUCGCUACGAAGCGAGGUACACAUAUGCACAGUAGAAUCACAGUUCUUUAUUUACAGUUUACCACUACAGGUCUGCAUACAUACAUGCAUAUAAUUGUACACUAGAAAUUUUACAGUAUGCAUUCUAUAUAUUGUGCAUAUACAUGGUGAUUAUAGAUAUCAUAUCAUAAACUGAACCAUCUCAGUCAAAGAUUCAAUAAUUAUUUAUUUUUCAGAAAAACUCUUGAGUUCUAGGGCAAUUGCAUAUCAGUCCCUAAAUUCAUAGUAAUCUUAAAUUUUACUAACUUGUGGGACUCAAGUGCAAAAGCACUAAACAUGUCAGGCUUUACAAAAUUUCUACUGAUAGUAAAUAUAGCUUGAGAUUAUCACACCAAACCAGCUUUGUUGAGGUGGCAGCAAGCCCUUAUCCAACCGGCAUGCAAGCAGGUGAGUCACCUUCACAAAGGAAAAAAAUUAACCCAUAUAUCAACCCAGCUACUAGAGAACCAGUCUUGGUUAUAUCGGUUGGAAACCAAUCUCAAGCAGCAGCCAUAGUAAAAUACUCCUCAGUCGCAGGAACAACCAACCACAGAAUCAAGCAGUAGUAGCCAGCAGUUCGGUUGAAAAACCAGCUCAAAUUAGAGAGAAAUAGCAGAGAGAAGUAGCUAAUAGUCUAGCACCACAAUCACACCGUAUCUCAAUAGUAGCAGCCAUAGAACAAAAAUCGGUGAGAGAGAGUAAGAGGAGAAGCCACCAGCAGCAGCUCAAACAAGAUGGAGCAGAAAUCAAGCAAGAGGAUCAACUCCAGGAGGAGCAAGGGAAGUAGCAGAUCCAGAUACCAAUCAAGAUUUUCACAUACCUUACCGUAUAAAUCAUAGCAGCAAGAAGAUGCUGAAAUGAGACAUCAGAGAGACCAACCUGAAGAAGGAGCAAGUGGUGAUCUAGCAGUCCAGCUCAGGAAGAUGAAGGAAAUGCCCAAAUACCCUUAGUUUCUGGAGGAGCAGCUGGUGCCUGAGCAAGGAGGAGAAAUAUUCAAUUGUUCUAGUUCCAAUAAGGGAGUGAAGUUACAGUCCCAGCAGGAGAAGUGGUAGAACCAGAGAGGGAGAAACCACACAAUCUUCACAGCCACACCAGAGUCAUUAACAAGGUAAUCCUGAAAUAAGAAUGAUAGGGAAAUCACAUCAUGGCAUGAUUCUUGGUUGAUGCAUAUAUUAGUAUGUUUAGGAGUUGUGUGCAUGCACUUAGUUAUAUCCAUUAAACCUGAAAAAUGAACCUAAGUAGAUGGCAGCCAUGUUGAUCUGUGCAUAUACUAGUACUAGAUGUUGGGGUUAUAUUACUGAAUAUGCAUCCUUAGUUCAAUAAGGUAAAGUUUUUUUGAGUAGUUGGACAGGAUAAUAUCAUCCUAAAUUUAGUGGAUUCUCAGAAGGAUAAUUCAAGUACAGAUCGGUUAUCUCAUUUCAUAGUUAGCAACAAGAAUUAUUCCAGAUGAGUUAUAAAUGCAUUUCAGUUAAGGGUUUGCAUAUGUGCAUAGUUCUUGAAAUCAGGAUUCAUGAUAGACCCUAUAGUAGGAACCUUGAUUACAUAAACAAUUAGAACUAAUUAUAACCUGACUGAAUUUGACCUUAUGAAUAUAGCAGAAGUUCAGGAGGCACUGGUAUUUCAGAUUAAAAUAUAAAAGAUUAGGUAGCAGCAGGUUUUAGUAAAAAGAAUAGAAUUGAGCAAUUAAGGAUAGCAUGUGAAAUUAGUAGAUUAUGAAUCUGGGUUUGCAUAUGUAUCUAGUUCCUUACUACAAAAUUCAGAAAAGACAUCAUAGGAUGAAUCUGGAUGUACAUUUAAGCAUGUAUAGUGUUAAGUAAUAAUAGUUGUACUAAAUCGUAAAGACUUAACAGAACAUGCAAGUUUCUUUACCAGAUCAUUAUGUGCAGGAGAGUAAAUGUUAGAGCAUAGUCUCAUAAUAAAACCAUUAUAAAUAAUAGUUGACCAGUAGUCUAAUUUAUCAACAACUCUAAUCUAAUAAAUUAUGUAGAGAUGAAAUUCUGGACAUAUAGACCAGCAGUAUAUUAUUUAGAGAAACAAAUUAUCAUUUAUUAACUUCAAGAUUCAAGUUUUAGGGAUUUUCAGUCCAAUAAUUCUUAGUAUAGAUAUUGCCAUGAUUAUCAAAGUGUAGAACCAUGUAAAUUGCUUCAUCAUUGAAUAAGAUUUUAGCUAAAGAUCUGGUCCUGCUAGUAUGUCACUAUCUUCAGAAGAUUCAGUUAAUUCAACAUGUAUGCAUAUAUAAGGACCAAUGAUGUUAGUGUGAUUUAAAUUUCAGUAAUUCAAUUCAUGGGUUUAUUCAUGUCUGGAUUCAUUCAUCGUGAGCAUAUAGGCAUCAUCCAUCUUAGCAAGCCAAUUUCUCUAGAACCCUAGAACUACUAAUUACAAUCCAUAGCAUAGAGUCAUCAAGUUGAUCAUUAGGAUUAGUUUACAAGUAUCAUUAGUGCAUUACAACCAUAAAUCAGUAGUAGAUAAGGGGAAGAACACCUUACUAGUACAACACUAGAGAUCAGGGAAAAGGAGAUAGAAGAGCGAAAUUGAAGUGGUAGCAGCGAUAGGGGCCAGGGGAAAACUUCCCUAAAUCCUUAUCUCGCCGGAGUUGGUCGCCGGUUGCAUCUUAGGUUGAGGAGGCUGGAGGCUAGGGUUAGCAGAAACGAGCUCAUGGGAGCUAGGGGAACCGAUUCGCGGCUGCGGGACAUCUGCUAGAGGGGUCGCCGGAGUGGGGCGCGGCAGCCGGCGCUAGGGAGAGUGACGGCGUCGCCGGCGCUGCCUAGGAAGCGGCGGCGCUGGAGAGAGCGUGAGGGAGAGAAGAGGAGAACGAGGAAAAAGAGAGAAGAGGAAGAAGGUGGUGUAGUGGACUUUUUUGUUGGGCUUCUA
rnacentral:lncRNA from 1 species